CGUCCGCCUUCGUCCAUCGUCGAUUAAGUUUUUUUUUCACGCGCAAUCGUCCCUGCCGAAAACGUCGGGAUGCAAUCCCAUCUAGCACCGAUCCACUCCGUCCUGACAGGCUCGACGCUGCCUCCUCCCCUCCCAAGCACCGCCGCCGCUACACACCCCAUCAGAGUACACCUCCCAUACUCCCUCUCUCUCUCUUGGAGCCGCCGCCGCUCCCCAUCCACCCCGUGCAUCGGAUCGACCUUGUUCCCUCUCCUUGCAACGUGGGAUAUGGAAGGGGCCGCCUGUCGGGCACCAAUCUGAUGGGGGCGUGGUCAUCUACCUCCUCCUCUCUCCCCACGUUGGUCCAGCCUGUUUUCUCUACCAGAUCUGGCGGCCGCGUCGGCGAAACUGCUGGCCGGUCGUCUUCGAGUCCGCCUACCACGGCGAUCCCGCAGUACAGCCUCCCCGCCUCCAAGAUGUGGCCUGGACAAGGCCGUCUUCUCCUUUCCUCCGUGGCGUCCAAUGAAGAGCUACACCACCGUGGCACCACAUGUGUGUUGUACCUUCGCCCCGCGGCCCUUCUGUGCUGGGAUGAGGCAGUGUUUGUCUGUAGCACUCCAUGUCCCACAUCAACAUUCCUUUCUUACUUAGUGUUGUACAAGUGAUGCAAUCAGGAUUUGCUGGUUUUUGAACAUAUCCCUGAUGGAGUGAAAGGGACGGAAGAAUUGGAAAUACAAUGAGGAUGGUGCAUGGAGAACAUGCUCUGUUGCCAUCUUCAUCCGCGAAUUGGCUCCCAAAUCUAAAAGGUGUGGCUGCCGAAACAUGAGUCUAACAAGGCGCGGCUGCUGAACCAGGAGAACCGCAGACCUGGUCACAAUGAAUGAGUUUGAGACAAACCUUGUGUCAUGUGUUAUCGCACUCAGAUAUCGGAGCCUUGGAGAAUGUAAAAGAAAUGUUAAACGGGUAGAUGUUGCCCCUCUAAACUUACCUGAAUUGUUCAGCAAAGGUCCGCGAUUAAUGGUACCCAUGUACAUUCAGUAGGGCGAGUUGGUCUUGCUAUAUUGCAUUCAGGCAUAGUGUUGAUAUUUCAUCAAAAAUAAGUUCAAGCAUGAUAUUUAAGAUCAAUUCUGGAAGAAUGACCUGACACACCUGAACAUCAGAAAAACAUAAGGUGACUAAAAAAUACAUUGAACCAAAUGUGCCUGACUGAAUUUUAUUUGGAAUCGUACGUGUUAUUAUUCUUUGGAUGUGGCUGGCCAUUGCUAGCAUGCAUACAUGUAGCCACAUCUAUGUGAUAUGGUCAGUAUAUAUCUAUCAUGAGAAUAGUAUCUCAUGCAAUCAAGUCACAAUUGUUUAAAUUUCAAAAAGCCAAACUGAAGAACAAGCUGAAUACUGCUCCUUCCUUGCUCGCGUCGCUCCCAGGGGGGUGGCACGGGCGAUAACCUAGCCGCCGCCGCCCCCACUCCCCGCUCCUUCCUCGCUCCCCUGCCGCCGCUGGGGGAUGCCGACGGGCAAAUCUCGCUCGGCGGACGGCGGCGGCGGGGCCUCCUCGUCGUGUGGCGUGCGGCUUCGGCCCUGGACGGAGCUCCACUCCUGGUUGCGGCUGGGCGGCGGCGGGUCCUCUCGCCGGCGCAGGUAAGCCGGGGCGGCGGCCCCGGGCAAGGUGGCGGCGCUGCUCCUUCCGACUCUCUACUGAGGGUGUUCGGGGCGGUGCUACCGCCGCGGAUCUGACGACCGACGUCCGGAUCUGCCGGUGGUGGCACUCUGGCGUGCUGCUGUGCCGGCUGCUGGGCGUGCUGAGUGCUGGAGUCCCCUCCCUCGGCUGGGGGAGCUGCGGUGGUGGCGGAAAGCUGCAGUUUUUGGACGGCGGCACGCCGGUGCCGCGAUGGUGUUUAUGCUACGGUGGCUGUGGAGAUUGGUCUCCGUCCCUGUACUGGUGUGCUCAUCUUCUGCUUGUUCUGUAGCAGAGGGCUGGGCUUGAGGUAGUUGUGGCUGUGGCCGGAGGCCGGAGGCGUGAUGGCACGGCGUGGUGCUCCGUUGCAUCAUGCAGGUGGGUCUGGUGGUUGGCUGCAACGCUCCUUGCACAAAUGUUGUUCUCCGGGCGAAAGUCUUGCACCUUCUCCGGUCGGUGCCGAUGAUGGCGGCGUUCUUGAGCGUCGCGUACCUUCUUGAAGGCCUCAUCGUGGAGAUACAUCCAUUUAUUCUCACAAUUGUUAUGUGAUUCUGGGUGAAAACCCAAGCUCUAUCGGAGCGGGCGGUGGCGACAUUUAUGCUGUUACCUUCUUGAAGGCACCGCUUUGGAAUCCUUGACCUUUGUGGGAUGGUGGGUUCAUGACAAUUGUGCAGGUUUUGGGUCGUGGACUAGGCGGUGGAAGCUGGGGCGGCGGCUCCGGACGGUGGAAGUACGCCGAGGCGGCGGCCUCGGAUGGCGAUGCAACGACGGCUCUAUGGGGUAGGUUCGUGGCUCUGCAUGGCUUGGGCGGCGACUUGGUGCUACAAGGGUAGCGAGGUCGUCGGCCUGGUUGGACGCGGCCCGAGGGGUUGGUCUGGCAGGAAGUCGGGGCGGCGGCUCCGGAUGUUUGGCACAGCGUUCGUGGUCUGCGGUCGGUCGUCUCCUGUAGCAAGGGCUACAGGGCCCUCGAACCGUGCGGCGCUAUGGCUCGUGAGCGGGCGGGGGAUGUCGGAGCGGCGGCUCCGGAGCUGGGGGUGUGUGUUUGUUGCGAUUGUGGCCUUGUGUCGUGUGGUCGACAAGGCUUCCUUGCUUGUGCGGUUUUUCGGCUCGGUUAUCCUUAUAAACCGGCCACUUUGUGAGGUUUUCGAUCCGGUUUCUCUUAUAAACUGGAUCAAUUCUCUUCUUCUAUAAUGAAAUGCCAGAGCUCCUGGCCCUCUGACGAGGUUCUGUUAAAAACAAAGUCACAAUUGUUUAUCCUCUUCGAUUAUCUUGCACUGCAGAAUUGUUGUACGGAACAAUUUAUAGGUGGUAUUCGUUAUUUCUCGGUAUGUAUAUGAACAAUGAUCGCACAUAUUCCUGUAAGCUAUAUUCUCUUCACAUUUA